rnacentral:rRNA from 1 species
UACAGAGGUCCCAAGCGUUGUUCGGAUUCACUGGGCGUAAAGGGUGCGCAGGUGGCCAAGUGUGUUAGGCGUGAAAGCCCGGGGCUUAACCCCGGAAUUGCACCUAAAACUACAUGGCUAGAGCAUUGGAGAGGGGAGCAGAAUUCACGGUGUAGCAGUGAAAUGACGUAGAUAUCGUGAGGAAUACCAGAGGCGAAGGCGGCUCCCUGGACAAUUGCUGACACUCAGGCACGAAAGCGUGGGGAAGCCAAAAGGGAGUUAGAAUUAAC